UCAAGCUACAAAGAGCACAAGGGGAAUGCCUUGGCACCGAGAGCCGAAGAAGGACGUGACUAACUGCGAUAAGCUGCGGGGAGCCGUAAGUAGGCUUUGAUCCGCAGAUUUCCGAAUGGAGCAAUCCGGCAAGAGGAAAGUCUUGUCAUCAUAUACUGAAUACAUAGGUAUAUGAGGGGAACCGCCUGAACUGAAACAUCUAAGUAGGGUGAGGAAGAGAAAUCAACUGAGAUUCCGUAAGUAGUGGCGAGCGAACGCGGAAGAGGCCAAACCGAGAGUAGUAAUACUUUCGGGGUUCGGACAGAAUACGGUAUUGUAAAGGUUUAGUGGAAUGGAAUGGGAAGUCCAACCGAAGAAGGUGAGAGUCCUGUACACGAAAAGCCUGAACAGCCAUCUGUAUCCAGAGUACCGCCGGACACGUGAAACCCGGUGGGAAUACGGGGGGACCAUCCUCCAAGCCUAAAUACUACUCGGUGACCGAUAGUGAAGAAGUACUGUGAAGGAAAGGUGAAAAGUACCCCUGACGGGGAGUGAAAAAGAACCUGAAACCUUGUGUUUACAAGCACCGAAAGCUCAUCAAAGAGCGAUCGGGUACCUUUUGUAGAAUGGUCCGGCGAGUGAAUGUAACCGGCGAGGUUAAGCACUUAAGGUGUGAAGCCGCAGCGAGAGCAAGUCUGAAUAGGGCGUAUGAAGUCGGUUGUAUUCGACCCGAAACCGGGUGACCUACCCAUGGUCAGGUUGAAGUAAAGGUAAAACUUUAUGGAGGACCGAACCGACUCCCGUUGAAAUGGUAGCGGAUGAACUGUGGGUAGCGGAGAAAUUCCAAUCGAACCCGGAGAUAGCUGGUUCUCUCCGAAAUAGCUUUAGGGCUAGCCUUGAAAUAGAUUACCGGAGGUAAAGCACUGAAUUGGCUAGGGGCCGAGAGGUUACUGAACCUUAUCAAACUAAGAAUGCCGGAUAAUCGUUUUUCAGGAGUCAGACAGUGGGAGAUAAGUUUCAUUGUCAAAAGGGAAACAGCCCAGACCCACAGCUAAGGUCCCCAAGUAUAGUUAAGUGGAAAAGGAUGUGGAAUUGCACAGACAACCAGGAUGUUGGCUUAGAAGCAGCCACUCAUUAAAAGAGUGCGUAAUAGCUCACUGGUCGAGUGACUCUGCGCCGAAAAUUUAACGGGGCUAAACUAUACACCGAAGCUUGGGAUACAUCUAAUGUAUGGUAGGAGAGCGUUCUGUAUGGGGAGAAGUCGUAGCGAAAGCGGCGGUGGACUAUACAGAAGUGAGAAUGCCGGAAUAAGUAGCGAGAAUUAAGUGAGAAUCUUAAUGGCCGAAAGUCUAAGGUUUUUGGAGGAAGGUUCGUCCGCUCCAAGUAAGUCGGGAGCUAAGGUCAGGCCGAAAGGCGUAGCCGAUGCACAUACGGUUGAUAUUCCGUAACCAUCUGUAAUUUAAGCAAAGGGACACUUCAAAAGGGUGUGACCCGGGCGUUGGUUGACCCGGGCGUAAGGGACCGAAAUUAGAGUAGGGAAGCACACUUGGCUGAAGGCGAGAAAAGCUUUGCGUAUAGAAGCAGAUGCCCGUACCGCAAACCGACACAGGUGGACAGGAAGAGAAUUCUAAGGCCAGCGGGAGAAGGGUAGUUAAGGAACUCGGCAAAUUGACUCCGUAACUUCGGAAUAAGGAGUGCUCGAAAGAGCCGCAGAGAAUAGGCCCAGGCGACUGUUUAGCAAAAACACAGGUCUCUGCCAAAUCGAAAGAUGAAGUAUAGGGGCUGACACCUGCCCGGUGCCGGAAGGUUAAGAGGAGGAGUGAGAGCUCCGAAUUGAAGCCCCGGUAAACGGCGGCCGUAACUAUAACGGUCCUAAGGUAGCGAAAUUCCUUGUCGGGUAAGUUCCG
rnacentral:rRNA from 1 species